GUUCCACAGACUGUUUUACCACUGUAUAAAGGUUCUUGAAUGAUCUUUAGAAAAGCAAAAACAAUAUUGUAAAUAAGGCACUUAAAACUAGCCACAUUUGAAUUCUUUGAUUUAAGGAGAUGGCCACAGGACCCCAGAAGGCAUGCAGAAGCAGAUCACUGCAUGAGAGCUGACACUGAUAAGAAGAAAGCAGGAAGAAGAGCUCUGACACAACCCAACCUCACACAGCACUAGGAAACUUCUGGAAGGAGCAUGAUGUCAUAAACAGAAGACCUAGCAUGACUCAAUACACACCAAUCAGGAUAGGCAAACUUCCUC